AUUGAACGCUGGCGGCAGGCCUAACACAUGCAAGUCGAACGAGCGGCGGACGGGUGAGUAAUGUAUGGGAAACUGCCCGAUGGAGGGGGAUAACUACUGGAAACGGUAGCUAAUACCGCAUACCAUCAGAUGUACCCAGAUGGGAUUAGCUAGUUGGUGGGGUAAAGGCUCACCAAGGCGACGAUCCCUAGCUGGUCUGAGAGGAUGACCAGCCAGACUGGAACUGAGACACGGUCCAGACUCCUACGGGAGGCAGCAGUGGGGAAGAGUGCACAAUGGGCGCAAGCCUGAUGAAGCCAUGCCGCGUGUAUGAAGAAGGCCUUCGGGUUGUAAAGUACUUUCAGCGGGGAGGCGUUACCCGCAGAAGAAGCACCGGCUAACUCCGUGCCAGCAGCCGCGGUAAUUC
rnacentral:rRNA from 1 species